CCCCCGCGGAGCACAGGAAGCCAAGUCCCUGGGCUCUUCCUUAGCCCUGUGCUCUGGAGAACCUUGUGCCCUCUUCACAAUGGGCCCUCGGUGCUAAGUCCUGAGUCCACCAGAGUGAAGAACCCAACACUGUCCAAGGUGGACACGCACAGUGAUUAUGACAACAGAAAUCCCAGUGGACAAGUGAAGAGGAUGGGGUCAUCAAGGCCCCAAGGCUCCCCUUCUCCCUGCAUCCCACAACAUAUCCCUUGUCCUGCUGGUCUCCCUGGCAACCCCAGCCCAGUUACCUGUGUGAAGUCUGGAGACUGUGACUCUUAGCUUCCCUGGGCAGCAACGACCAGAGGUGGGAAGUCAGUCAGAGUGGAGAGCUAUAUCUCGGAGGGUGGAUAUGGGCGGGGCCAAGCAGAAGCCAC